rnacentral:rRNA from 1 species
AGUCGAACGGCAGCAUGAUCUAGCUUGCUAGAUUGAUGGCGAGUGGCGAACGGGUGAGUAAUACAUCGGAACGUGCCCUGUAGUGGGGGAUAACUAGUCGAAAGAUUAGCUAAUACCGCAUACGACCUGAGGGUGAAAGUGGGGGACCGCAAGGCCUCAUGCUAUAGGAGCGGCCGAUGUCUGAUUAGCUAGUUGGUGGGGUAAAGGCCCACCAAGGCGACGAUCAGUAGCUGGUCUGAGAGGACGAUCAGCCACACUGGGACUGAGACACGGCCCAGACUCCUACGGGAGGCAGCAGUGGGGAAUUUUGGACAAUGGGGGCAACCCUGAUCCAGCAAUGCCGCGUGUGUGAAGAAGGCCUUCGGGUUGUAAAGCACUUUUGUCCGGAAAGAAAUCGCACUUACUAAUAUUAGGUGUGGAUGACGGUACCGGAAGAAUAAGGACCGGCUAACUACGUGCCAGCAGCCGCGGUAAUACGUAGGGUCCAAGCGUUAAUCGGAAUUACUGGGCGUAAAGCGUGCGCAGGCGGUUGUGCAAGACCGAUGUGAAAUCCCCGGGCUUAACCUGGGAAUUGCAUUGGUGACUGCACGGCUAGAGUGUGUCAGAGGGGGGUAGAAUUCCACGUGUAGCAGUGAAAUGCGUAGAGAUGUGGAGGAAUACCGAUGGCGAAGGCAGCCCCCUGGGAUAACACUGACGCUCAUGCACGAAAGCGUGGGGAGCAAACAGGAUUAGAUACCCUGGUAGUCCACGCCCUAAACGAUGUCAACUAGUUGUUGGGGAUUCAUUUCCUUAGUAACGUAGCUAACGCGUGAAGUUGACCGCCUGGGGAGUACGGUCGCAAGAUUAAAACUCAAAGGAAUUGACGGGGACCCGCACAAGCGGUGGAUGAUGUGGAUUAAUUCGAUGCAACGCGAAAACCUUACCUACCCUUGACAUGCCACUAACGAAGCAGAGAUGCAUUAKGUGCUCGAAAGAGAAAGUGGACACAGGUGCUGCAUGGCUGUCGUCAGCUCGUGUCGUGAGA